rnacentral:lncRNA from 1 species
AUAAUAUUCCAACACAAGUUAGCAUUCAAUCAAAGAACUUUGGGUAUUUUCCACAAUUGGCUUUCUUUUAAAGGUCAAAAC